GCAUCCAGUGUUCUUCUAAGAUGUUGAAGAAGACAAGGUGCCUAAAUGGCGGAUGAUUUUUAUUUUACUCUAGGUGAUCAACACUCGAGGUCCUAUGUGGUGUGAAUCGUUGGCAAUCAACUUUUAGAACCAGAACUCGAUUGGAUGAUUUAUCUUAAUAUGAUUAUGUAGAUUCAAUUGAAGAAGUUAAUCUUUUUUCACAACUGAUUUAAGUAUUUCUAAACGCAUGAAAUGACCAUCAAGUUAAGUGAAGAUGGAUCAUGAUAAUUCUCAAAAGAGGAAUUCCAAUGCUAAUGUAAGAUAUAGCUUCUGAAACCCCUCCAAAAAUGGGUUUUCCCCAUCCAAAAUCAAAUUCAUCAAAUCCAACAGAUCUAUUAUCUGAGACAAUAAAAUUCCAAGAUUUUGAUAACUCAGCUGGAGUAAUAAACGCAUUACCGUAAUAUCCAGAUGGCAAUUCAAAUUUUAGUGAUUUUCCACGUAUACUAACAAAGAACGUCAAACGAACAAUUUCUCCAGGGUGCAAAUCGAGAGCAAUGGUACGACAUUUCCA